UGCGUAGGGCGCAAGCGUUAUCCGGAAUUACUGGGCGUAAAGGGUGCGUAGGCGGUUCGUUAAGUCUGUCGUGAAAUCCCCGGGCUCAACCUGGGAAUGGCGAUGGAUACUGGCGAGCUAGAGUGUGUCAGAGGAUGGUGGAAUUCCCGGUGUAGCGGUGAAAUGCGUAGAGAUCGGGAGGAACAUCAGUGGCGAAGGCGGCCAUCUGGGACAACACUGACGCUGAAGCACGAAAGCGUGGGGAGCAAACAGG
rnacentral:rRNA from 1 species